GGGGGACUAGCACCUCCUCACUUCAGACAAGAUAGAAAAUACACUUUAUGCAGCAGGGAAAUUAACAGUUAUUUACCCUGCAUGCACUCUAGAAGAGAGGCCAUUGAGGCAAGCCAGCAAGUGUGUGAUUCCAUGACAAGUAAUCAUAGACUGAAAUGGGUUCGUGUCUUUUACUUCCUGAGAAACAGUUUUUCAGAGUAUAUCAUCUGCAUUUUUUCUUAUCUUCUGAGGACCUGUGUGCCAACUACUUGUACCCUAAGAAGAGUGGAUGCUCAAAAUUAGAGAAGAAACAUCAUCUAGGAAUGAAACUGAGACUCUUCUGACAAAUAAACAGACCCUGAUGAAGUGGGCAUCAAGGGAGGAUUUCUAAUUUUCUUCUUGAAAGCAAUAUGUUUCAUCUGUAUGCCACUUAUAAGUCAAUCAUGAGAAAGAGGAAAGACAGCCCUUUUCUGAAAGGCAAGAAUCAUCCUGAGCCAUCACCUUAUAUUGGAAGAAAGCUUUUCCCUCCCAACAGUUAUCAUCCUUUGUCAGCAUCACAGGAACGUCUAGGACACUGUAGUCAAAAGCAGGAGCUGUCACUGCUAAGCACUGUACACAAACACAGAUGCAUAUGAAAAGAAAAAUCCUACUCUGGAGAACUCUAAAUGUCUGUUAAUCAAAGGCGUAACAGUGAGGGAAGGUUAAUUAGCUCCAUUUUGUAGGUAGGAUAUCAAGGCAAAGGUGGGUUCAUUGACUUCUGUCGCAUAGGCAAGUAUUGAAUCUAAAUUUCUUAAAUCCUGGUUCUAUUUCAGUCCUCAAAACCACACUUUAUCAUAGGGAUUCUCUCUCUACACUUUCUCACAGCCUCACUUUCCCACCUAAAGGAAGACAAAGGAGACCAGUUUUGAGAUAGACAACUGAGGAGCUGUCAACAUCUUAAUGAAAUCUGAGGUCAGCUACAGUAAACUCUGAGUCUGUAUGCCUAGUCCCCUCUCAUUACAGCAUGUCAAGACACUUCCUAAAAUCAGCCAGGUCUGGUAUUGUGCCUCAAUGAUCUUCAAAAAUCUUCAUCCACUCAAAAAAAUUCUUAGAUUUAAGGUAAAUUAGUUAGUAAUCUCUGUAAAAAUAGAAGGAAGGAGAAAAUAAAGGAAGCGCACGUGCAAAAUUUGUCUUCAGAUAGCCAAGAAUCAGGUGACUAGGAAACUUAAUUGGAGUGGGCUGUGGAGAGCCAGUGUCUGUUCACUUACUUUGAAUUAGAAAAGGCAGGGGUUUGUACCAGGAAAGCUCCAUAUGUCAAGCAAAUAUCAUGCCUGCUUGUCUGGGUUGAUUUCUGCUUUGAUGGUCCUUCCACUUGAACAAAAAUUUUCUAACAGAUCCAGAAAAUCAGUGUCAGAUAAACUCAUGACCCAAACCACCAUGAUCCCUCAAAUGGAAAGGUCUUGAAUUGACAUUUUCUAGAGAAAAUACUUUCAUUAAAAAAGAAAAAAAAAAUCAAACAUAAGACCUUAACAAGAAUCUUAUGCAUUAUCAAGCACACUGUCUAGAUUAGGACCAAAAAAAAACCAAACAAAAAAAAAAAAAAAAAGGAGGAGCCAGAUCAUGAAGUGACAGAGACCAGUAGAUCUCAGAGUCAAGACAGCAAUGCUGAUUUCCUCUGGAUGUGCAGAAUCAGUAUCUAACUACAGCAUUUGGGAAGCAUAAGCAUUGCAUAUUAGUGUUAUCAUUGCAAGUGUGAAGGAAAGAGACUCACACGUAGACAAGCUUAAGGAGAAGUCAGGGUUAGGAGUUUUACUUGCUUCAGUCAAAGGAAAAAUGAUAAGAACUGUUCAUUCUGUAAAUGUGCCUUUCCUCACAGGCUAAAAAGUAAUUUUAAGAUGAACAAACUAACACAUGUGAUAACUCACACUCCAGGUUCAAAAGAGUGAAUCCAGGUUUUAGCAGCUGGAAGAACUGGUGAUUUAAGUUUGCAUGAUAGAUGCUAUGGGCUUACAGGUUUAGGAUUUCUGUAUAUCACUGACCUGGCCCCUGCUUCAGAAGCUAAACCCACUUACAGAAAAGCGGUUUUCUUUAA